rnacentral:rRNA from 1 species
UUAGAGGUAGACGCAGAGAACUGAAACAUCUUAGUACCUGCAGGAAGAGAAAGAAAAUUCGAUUCCCUGAGUAGCGGCGAGCGAAACGGGAAGAGCCCAAACCAACAAGCUUGCUUGUUGGGGUUGUAGGACUCCGAUAUGGUAGUCUGUUAGUAUAGUUGAAGGAUUUGGAAAAUUCCGCUAAAGAGGGUGAAAGCCCCGUAGACGAAAUGCUGACAACACCUAGGAGGAUCCUGAGUACGGCGGAACACGAGAAAUUCCGUCGGAAUCCGCGGGGACCAUCCCGCAAGGCUAAAUACUCCCUAGUGACCGAUAGUGAACCAGUACCGUGAGGGAAAGGUGAAAAGCACCCCGGAAGGGGAGUGAAAUAGAUCCUGAAACCGUGUGCCUACAACAAGUCAAAGCUCGUUAAUGAGUGAUGGCGUGCCUUUUGUAGAAUGAACCGGCGAGUUACGAUUGCAUGCGAGGUUAAGUCGAAGAGACGGAGCCGCAGCGAAAGCGAGUCUGAAUAGGGCGAAUGAGUAUGUAGUCGUAGACCCGAAACCAUGUGAUCUACCCAUGUCCAGGUUGAAGGUGCGGUAAAACGCACUGGAGGACCGAACCCACGUACGUUGAAAAGUGCGGGGAUGAGGUGUGGGUAGCGGAGAAAUUCCAAACGAACUUGGAGAUAGCUGGUUCUCUCCGAAAUAGCUUUAGGGCUAGCCUCGGAAUUGAGAAUGAUGGAGGUAGAGCACUGUUUGGACUAGGGGCCCAUCUCGGGUUACCGAAUUCAGAUAAACUCCGAAUGCCAUUCAUUUAUAUCCGGGAGUCAGACUGCGAGUGAUAAGAUCCGUAGUCGAAAGGGAAACAGCCCAGACCACCAGCUAAGGUCCCAAAAUAUAUGUUAAGUGGAAAAGGAUGUGGGGUUGCACAGACAACUAGGAUGUUGGCUUAGAAGCAGCCACCAUUUAAAGAGUGCGUAAUAGCUCACUAGUCGAGUGACCCUGCGCCGAAAAUGUACCGGGGCUAAACAUAUUACCGAAGCUGUGGACUACACCAUUAGGUGUAGUGGUAGGAGAGCGUUCUAAGGGCGUUGAAGGUCGAUCGUGAGGACGGCUGGAGCGCUUAGAAGUGAGAAUGCCGGUAUGAGUAGCGAAAGACAGGUGAGAAUCCUGUCCACCGUAUGACUAAGGUUUCCUGGGGAAGGCUCGUCCGCCCAGGGUUAGUCGGGACCUAAGCCGAGGCCGAUAGGCGUAGGCGAUGGACAACAGGUUGAUAUUCCUGUACCAGUUGUUUUUGUUUGAGCAAUGGAGGGACGCAGUAGGCUAUGGAAUGCAUGCGAUUGGAAGUGCAUGUCCAAGCAAUGAGUCUUGAGUAGAGUUAAAUGCUUUACUCUUUAAGGACAAGUUGUGACGGGGAGCGAAAUAAUAGUAGCGAAGUUCCUGAUGUCACACUGCCAAGAAAAGCUUCUAGUGAGAAAACAACUGCCCGUACCGUAAACCGACACAGGUAGUCGAGGAGAGUAUCCUAAGGUGAGCGAGCGAACUCUCGUUAAGGAACUCGGCAAAAUGACCCCGUAACUUCGGGAGAAGGGGUGCUGACUUCGGUCAGCCGCAGUGAAUAGGCCCAAGCGACUGUUUAUCAAAAACACAGGUCUCUGCAAAAUCGUAAGAUGAAGUAUAGGGGCUGACGCCUGCCCGGUGCUGGAAGGGUAAGAGGAUGGGUUAGCUUCGGCGAAGCUCAGAAUUGAAGCCCCAGUAAACGGCGGCCGUAACUAUAACGGUCCUAAGGUAGCGAAAUUCCUUGUCGGGU